UACGGAGGGUGCGAGCGUUGUUCGGAAUUAUUGGGCGUAAAGCGCGUGUAGGCGGCCAUGCAAGUCGGGUGUGAAAGCCCUCGGCUUAACCGAGGAAGUGCGCCCGAAACUACAUGGCUUGAGUACCGGAGAGGGUGGCGGAAUUCCCGGUGUAGAGGUGAAAUUCGUAGAUAUCGGGAGGAACACCAGCGGCGAAGGCGGCCACCUGGACCGAUACUGACACUGAGACGCGAAAGCGUGGGGAGCAAAC
rnacentral:rRNA from 1 species